rnacentral:rRNA from 1 species
CAGCAGCCGCGGGAAUACGUAGGUCCCGAGCGUUGUCCGGAAUUAUUGGGCGUAAAGGGCUCGCAGGCGGUUUCUUAAGUCUGAUGUGAAAGCCCCCGGCUCAACCGGGGAGGGUCAUUGGAAACUGGGAAACUUGAGUGCAGAAGAGGAGAGUGGAAUUCCACGUGUAGCGGUGAAAUGCGUAGAGAUGUGGAGGAACACCAGUGGCGAAGGCGACUCUCUGGUCUGUAACUGACGCUGAGGAGCGAAAGCGUGGGGAGCGAACAGGAUUAGAGACCCCAGUAGUCCCUGUCUCUUAUAA